rnacentral:rRNA from 1 species
GAGUUUGAUCUUGGCUCAGAACGAACGCUGGCGGCGUGGAUAAGACAUGCAAGUCGCACGGGACUUAUUUUGUAGCAAUACGAAGUAAGUUCAGUGGCGCAAGGGUGCGUAACACGUGAAUCAUCUGCCGAGAAGUGGGGCAUAGCUCGCCGAAAGGCGAAUUAAUACCGCAUGUGGUCGCAAGACUAAAGCCGCAAGGCGCUUCCCGAUGAGUUCGCGGCCUAUCAGCUAGUUGGCGGGGUAAAAGCCCACCAAGGCUAUGACGGGUAGCUGGUCUGAGAGGACGACCAGCCACACUGGGACUGAGACACGGUCCAGACACCUACGGGUGGCAGCAGUCGAGAAUUUUUUCUCAAUGGGGGAAACCCUGAAGGAGCGACGCCGCGUGGAGGAUGAAGGUCUUCGGAUUGUAAACUCCUGUCAUUGAUGAACAAAGCCCUUCAAUGGGUCUGAUAGUAAUCGAAGAGGAAGAGACGGCUAACU